GGGGGCGCAAUGGUUUCGACAGGGGUGUGAUGUGUUUGAGAAGCGAGUCGAGGGAACCUGUGGGCCCGCGUUAAAAAACUAUGGGAUUAAAUAUAAACGAAAAUAAUAACGAAAAUUUAGCUUUAGCAGCAUAGUCUGCUAGCCGUCAGCCUAGACUUCCCGCGAUCUAGGGUCUGGCGCCGAUAGCGGGGAAACGAGCCUAGGAAAGCUUUGACCUAGGAACGGAAUUUAUGAAGCUACUGAAUUCAGAAGCCUGUCCUUAGGCGUCUGAAGGAGGGAAUUUUAAAUUAAGGACUGCACUCGGAGAUGCUCAAAUGUUUCUGCUUUUGGACAGGGGUUCGAUUCCCCUCGCCUCCACCA
rfam:Clostridium autoethanogenum DSM 10061, complete genome.